GAUGCUGUCAAGGUGGUCAUGGCUGGAAAGCCAAGAAGUGUCAGGUAAAAUAUGAAGGGAAGGCUUUCUUCAAUAGAUAAUGCAAUUUAAAAAUAAAUACGCAGUGUUGCAAGGCAAAUAAAAUGCAAAUAUAGGUAAUUGAUCACUUUUUCUUUACUGUAUUGCAUGUGGACUAGGAUGUUGAAACCCAAAGAAACAAUUUAAGUAGUGAACUGUGUGCAACAAAGGAAAUUUUGACAUAGCUUGCAAGAGAAAUUAACGAACAAGAAAGAGAACA
rnacentral:misc_RNA from 1 species